GCGGGUGUGGCGGAAUGGUAGACGCGGUGGACUCAAAAUCCACUUAUGGCGACAUAGUGGGGGUUCAAAUCCCUUCACCCGCA
rnacentral:tRNA from 1 species